rnacentral:lncRNA from 1 species
AUGCAGGGGGUCCGCGGUGGGGCUCAGGGCAGCCGAGCUGUGAUGGGGGCCGGGACAACCCCGCGGCCCCCGGCAGCACCACGGGGGUGUGCGGGUGGCACAGGAUGGGGGCACACGGGCAGCGAGGCCAGAAAUGGGGGCUGCUGCCGUGGCAGAGCCCUUGGCCCAUUGGAGCCCAGGAGAUCUGCUAGGGCAGAGCCGUUGGCCACCCGGGUCCGGCGCUCCCACCGUGGCGGAGCCGAGCUGCCAGCCCGGGGAUGGAUAUCGCCCACCCCGGGGCUGCCAGCCGGGCAGCACUCGGGGAGAUCUCCCCCCGCCGAGCUGCCACCACGGGCUGUGCCGAGCUGUGUCCUGUCCGUGCCAUGUCGGGGCCGUGCCGUGCCGUGCUGUGCCGUGCCGUACUGUGCUGUGCCGUGCUGUGCUGUGCCAUGCUGUGCUGUGCUGUGCCAUGCCAUGUUGUGCCGUGCUGUGCCAUGCCGUGCUGUGCUGUGCUGUACUGUGCCGUGCCAUGUUGUGCCAUGCCGUACUGUGCUGUGCCGUGCUGUGCCAUGCCAAGCCGUGCCAUGCCAAGCCGUGCCAUGCCAUGCCGUGCCGUGCUGUGCCAUGCCGUGCCAUGCCGUGCCGUGCCAUGCCAUGCCGUGCCAUGCCAUGCCGUGCCAUGCCGUACUGUGCCGUGCCGUGCUGUGCCAUGCCAUACUGUGCCAUACCGUGCCGUGUCAUACCGUGCCGUGCCGGCAGGGAACCGAGGCACUGGAUCCCGAGCGCGCUCCGUGCCCGCCCGCCCGGCCCUACCUGGGCACGCCCCGGGGCCGGGUGGGGUGCGGCGGGAGGCGGGCCGGGCCGGGCCGUACCGUGCCGGGCCGGGCCAUACCGUACCGUGCCGGGCCGUGCCGCAGGUGCAGCGGCGGCCCCCGAGGGCCCCUUGGCGCCUCCCGGGAGGUUCAGCAUGGCCGUGCGGUUCCAGGUGCGCUGCCCGCCCGGGAGGGACCGGGGGAGCCCCGGGGAGGUCACCGCGGCGGGCUCGGGGCUGGGCGGCGGGGUCAGCUCCAUCCCACCCGGGUCGGCCCUGUUCCACCCGGCUGCUGGCCGUGGGGAGCUGUGGGGCGGCCGUGGCAGCGCGCCGGGCUGCUUGCUGGCCCGGCCUCGUCGCGCCGCAGGACGGCGGUGGGGCCUCUCCGUGAUUUCCUCGUCACGGAUAAAACCACGCGCUCCUGUCGCCGGGCGCCGUGCCUCCUGCCCUGCCUGGCACCGGGGGGCUGCGGGGUGCCCUGGGCACGGUGGAGGCGGCGGGAGCCUCGUGCCGCGUCCUGCACCCCGAGCAGGAGGCUCGGGCCGGCUGCGGGGAGGCUGCAGCUGAUCCAUCGCGGCAUUGCCUGGCGCUCUCGGUUUGUUUUUCCAUAUCCAGAUGACCCUUGA